GACGAACGCUGGCGGCGCGCUUAACACAUGCAAGUCGAACGGAAAGGCCUGCUUUCCCUUGUGGAUUGCGGGUACUCGAGUGGCGAACGGGUGAGUAACACGUGAGUGAUCUGCCCCCAACUUGGGUAUAAGCCUGGGAAACUGGGUCUAAUUCCCGAUAGGACUGCAGGGUGGUGCCUGUGGUGGAAAACGAUUUUCUAGUGGUUGGGGAUGAGCUCGCGGCCUAUCAGCUUGUUGGUGGGGUAAUGGCCUACCAAGGCGGCGACGGGUAGCCGGCCUGAGAGGGUGGACGGCCACAUUGGGACUGAGAUACGGCCCAGACUCCUACGGGAGGCAGCAGUGGGGAAUAGUGCACAAUGGGCGGAAGCCUGAGGCAGCGACGCCGCGUGGGGGAUGACGGCCUUCGGGUUGUAAACUCCUUUCGACCGCGAGGAAGCCACCUGGUUGGAAGGGUGGUGACGGUAGUGGUAGAAGAAGCACCGGCUAACUACGUG
rnacentral:rRNA from 1 species